GUUUGAUCCUGGCUCAGAAUCAACGCUGGCGGCGUGCCUAACACAUGCAAGUCGAACGAGAAAGGGUAGCAAUCCCUGAGUACAGUGGCGCACGGGUGAGUAACACGUGACUAACCUACCCUGGAGUGGGGGAUAACUGAGGGAAACCUUAGCUAAUACCGCAUAAUACCUACGGGUCAAAGGAGCAAUUCGCUUCAGGAGGGGGUCGCGGCCGAUUAGUUAGUUGGCGGGGUAAUGGCCCACCAAGGCAAUGAUCGGUAUCCGGCCUGAGAGGGCGCACGGACACACUGGAACUGAAACACGGUCCAGACUCCUACGGGAGGCAGCAGUGGGGAAUUUUGCGCAAUGGGGGAAACCCUGACGCAGCAACGCCGCGUGGAGGAUGAAAUCCCUUGGGAUGUAAA
rnacentral:rRNA from 1 species